rnacentral:rRNA from 1 species
UACCGAGGGUGCAAGUGUUAUCCGGAAUCACUGGGCGUAAAGCGUCUGUAGGUGGUUUAUUAAGUCAACUGUUAAAUCUUGAGGCUCAACCUCAAAAUCGCAGUCGAAACUAUUAGGCUAGAGUAUAGUAGGGGUAAAGGGAAUUUCCAGUGGAGCGGUGAAAUGCGUAGAGAUUGGAAAGAACACCGAUGGCGAAGGCACUUUACUGGGCUAAUACUAACACUCAGAGACGAAAGCUAGGGUAGCAAACAGG